CUUGAUACAAAAAUAGAAACAGUUGGUGGUCACUCAUAAAGUCAAAAAUCCCCGCAGGAUCUUAAUUCCUGCGGGGAUUUAUUC
rnacentral:sRNA from 1 species